CACCUGCAUCGACAUUCAUGGCCAAGCGUCAGCUGCCGUCGUAAGGGGCCGGAAUCGACCCAAUUUCAGGAACAUCGCGACCGCCGCAUUCCCAUCUCGACGCCCGCAACAAAUCACAAGUCGCAAUUCUAAUGCGCUCGCGCCGCGCAGCCCGUGCAAUGAGCACGUCGUCGAGCGCGGCUGGGGGUGAGGGCCGGCCCACAGGGAACAGUGAGCACAUCACGAGCCGCGAAGAGAGUCACACGGUGGAGGUGGACUUACAGAUGCGCUUGAAUUUGGCCUUCAGGGCGUCCUUCUCGCCGCAGUUGGUGAUGUUGAAGAAGAAGUCGGGGUACUCGCUCUGCAGGAACUCCGCGGGAGGCACCGCAGUGCCGACGCCCAACACACAUGCUGGUCCCUCAGCGCGAGGCUGGCCUCUGGGAAGCGCGCUCCUUGUGGCAGCACCCUGAACGUCGACUUCUCCGCUUGGUGCCAUGGGCACGUUUGGGUUCGGAAUGGAUGUUGAGUCCGAGCUGCUCACUCGGGGUUGUCUCGAAGCGGCCGGACAAUGAGCGUUCAAUUUGUUCCGGUGAACUGGCCCUGCAGCCACUGCCUAGGAUCUCUUAACCUGCCAAAAUCAGGGGGCUUAUAUGCAACGCACAAUGUGCCGGCGAGAAGGUGGCCCGAGUUGAGCAGACGUCUCGCUCUGAAUCUGUUAGCUCACAAGUUUGUUGCUCUAUCUGCUACACUUCCUGAAUGCGUUGAGUGCACAGAGAAGUUCUCUGUUGUGCAGCUUCAUUCAGCAUCGCUUUCUAGAUGAGGGGAGUGUGCAGAGUGAAUGUGGUGGCCCACAAGCCAGGGAAGAGCGUUGAAUGAUGUAGGACUUCGACAGGAACAGUGCAGUCUUGGCGACUUUUUUCUUGCGGCUUUUGUUCCUUUUCCAGGCGCCUGUUGGUUUCUUUCAACGUUGACAGCCUUUUAAGAUGACCUGGAGUUUACUUCGGCUGCUGGCUUGUUCGGACCAUCCGCAUGAAGCUUCGAAGACGUCACAAUCCACUUUCAAAAUCCUAGGGAACUAUGACAAUUGGUCCGUAUGGUUGUCAACGAACAGCUGCAGACUUUAGAUUCUUCACUUCAAAUAUAAAUCGUAAGGGAAUCGUCCGGUGGGUUUGCCAUUAUUAGCUCAUACUGGAACAUGUUUCCGUCUGAGUGGAAAUGCAGCAUUUUCCUAUUUGUGAACCAAUACUGUAUGGCCAUAUGAUGACGGGGGUGUCUAGAGCCAUGACACAUGUGCAUUGCCAAUUUUGACCAUCGAUUGGAGAGUCUUAUUGUUAGACUUUACCGCGGUCUUUGACAUGUGGCAUGACCAUUUGGAUAUAUUAAAGAACCUCACGAGAGCGAGAUAGUUGAUUUACAUUCAAAUAGACGCUUUCACAAAGAAUGGAAUUUAACUUAUACGUAUCAGCUCAUGACCCAGGCAGAUAUUAAAUGCAAUUUCUGUGUAAAACAUUUCCAUGCUUUACAAACACAAGCUUUGCAUAUGUGUAGACAAGUUUUGUGAUUGUGAAUUAACAGCAUUUGUUAUUCAUUAUUCAACAAUUUGAUUACGGCAUGUAAUGCUCCUAUUGAUUGAAAACUUCUAAUAUCCACUAUAAAUUUCGUGGACAGGUGAAUUCAAACAAUGUCCUUUUUUCAUUUUUCAUUUUCAUUUGAGAUAUGUUAAUCAUGAAUUCAAUACAUUUUCAUGCGACGGAAUUCAAGAUUUUUUCAUUGAGCAAGGAUUGUGUUUAUGUUGACUAAUUUGUGCUCACAACCAUUUGGUUGGAAUGCAAGAUAACUCACCUAAAUUUUCGAGUUUUUGUACACAUCAAAUUCACACACAACCCAAAAUAGUAUAUCUUUCUAAUUUGAUUCGAUUUGAUUUUUUUAGUUGAUUUAAAAGUUAGAUUCUCUUGGUUGCAAUGGAGGAUCUAAAAACAAUUAAAAAUAUUGAAAAAAUUAAAACUUAAAAUGAAGUUCUUUCAAAAUAAUCUAACUACAUACACUCUAAUUACUAGUCUAACUACACAUCAAGUGCAAAAAAAAUCAACACUAGAUAUUUAUGCGCUAUAAAUUGCAUUUUAAUAAGAGGGGUUUGAAUACCAUGCCAAACUCUAAUAAAUGCCUACUUAUUUAACUAGUUCCAGAUGGACAAAGGAAAUAUGAGAUGACCACACCAAAAAUUUAAAUCCCAAGGCAUAGUCUAUCUAUUAUGAGCAUCGAUAUCCCAAACUCCACAACACUGCAUGCAUGUCGCCUACAAAAUGUCCUUGUUGCAAAGAGUUGAAAAUGCAUAGAUUGAAAGACUUUUCCACCAAAAUAAAAAGAUACAAAAAUAGACAAUUUAGAUAAGCAAGAGUUCUUGUCAACAUUGUAAUAGCUUAAUAGCUUUCAAAUGAUCUAUAAAUAAAAUUGUACUUAUUUUUUGAUAUAUAUAUAUAUAUAUAUAUUUUUUAAUUUUUUUGAAUGUUUACUGUCCUACUUUAGAAACCUGUAAGUUAAUUUAUUAGCAACAAAAGCUCUUUAUUAAACUAGUUACAUGGCCUUAAACUUGACAUUAUUAUAGAAAAAUAAUUUCUUUAUUGGCUCAAAUAAAAUCAUUUCAAUUAGAAAGGCUUAUUGCUUAAAAAUAAACCCUCAUCAAAAAAAUCCUCAUUUACUCUUAAAAUCUUAAUUCUAAGAUCCUAAUCUAAUUAAAUAUUUAUAUGUUUUAAUUGAAUCAUUUAUUUGAAUUCAAAUUUUCAAACUACAAUAACAACAAAUUAAAAACACAUAUUACUAAUGACAUUUAAAAAUUUGAAUUAUCAUCAUAAUCAAAAGGUAUUAUUAGAAUUAAAAAAGAAAAUUAAAUUAAUAAUUAAUUUCUUAAAAUAAACUUUUAAAAAAUCUUAUUUAUGUUUUAAGCAAUGAUUUGUUUUUAAAGCAAUAGUAACAAAAAAAUUCAAUUAAAAUUAAAAAUCUCACUUAUAUUUAUUCUACUUCUUAAAAUAAUUUUUAACUUUGAGUUUAUCAACAAUCCAGUUAUUAAUAUUAACACUAAAUUAUUUUUUAGUAUUUUUAUAUUUAUAUCUUUUAAUAAUAUUUUUUUAUUUUUAUAUAAAAUUUAUAGUAAGAAAGAAUCUCAUUUAAAUAAUUUUCUAUUUUUUUUUAUUCUACAAAAAAAAUUCAUUUAUUGUAAAUACUUAGUUUUGUAUUGUAAGAUCUUGUUUGUAUUCUACUUCAUAUCAAAGACAUGAAUCUUGAAAGAAAAAAAUCCCAAUAUAUUCUUGUAUCAGUCAAAAAGACUUAAAAAUCAAUCAAAGAUGAUAAUAUAUUAAACUAAAUUGACUAUUGCCAAAGAUAAGAAGACUAGAAAGUCUUGAAAUAAGACUAAGAAUUAGAAAAGCAUUGAUAAGAAUGAAGGAAGCUCUACAUUUGCGUCUAUAUAUACUAUCGAACUAGAAGUUGCAUGGCAAUCAUCUAUACGACCGCCAAUAGAUGUUGACUUUAUGAGAUAUAUGUUUUAACUUACAAGGCAAGUUUCUUAUAUGUGCACCAUAUCAUUAGUCUCUUUUAGAAGCUUCCAACAUGUGUGAUAUUUAGUUAAGUUGUUGACCAAAUUUCUAAUUUAUUAAUCAAAUAUAUAUACAUGUAAAAUCAGAACCACAUUAUGAUGCUUCUAAGAAGUUUUUUUACAAGAUAUUAUAAAAUUAAUCUAUAUUUAUUUAUUUCUACUUAAUGAUAUAUAUAAUUAUUGAAAUAUAUACAUAUAUCCAUGAUGAUAAUUUCUCUUUUAGAAAUAAAAAGCAACCAUCAUCUCUCAUGGAUCUUACUAUUUUUCAUCUUGAUUUUGAUAGACAUUGUUGAUAAAAAGCCUCAACUCUCUUAGCUAUAUUUGUAAGAUUCUUUGUUGGUAUUCAUGUAAAUUUAUUAACAACAUCUCUUGUCAAUGAAUAAGUUAUUUUAAUCUAUUUUGGCAGUACCUUCAAUUUAAGACUUCUUCAACCUCUAGUUUUUGAUUAUUAUCCAAUUUUAUAGAAAGAGGUGGCAUUUUUCUUCUUUUUAAGAUAUUCAUUAUCUUAUAUGAUUGAAGAAGAAACACGUAGAGUAUAAGAUGGCUCUUCAUAGAUGCUAGUAGAUAUAAUUGAUAAGCAAUGUCAUUGUUUUCUUCAUAAAUAGGAAAUGGUUUAAGCCUAUGAUAGUCCAACUUGUUACAAAGACAAGUAGUCUUUAUAUUAUAACAAAGUAAUCCUAUUUUAUUGCUCACAUUGAAUUGUGGUUAUUCCUUGUAAUAGGCAUCUAUAUUGAACUUUUGUCAUUCAUUAGCUUUUUUUAAUUGCGCCUUCAUUAUUGCAUGUAGCUUUGAUAAAUAAUUUGCUAAAUCAUCUUUUGCAAGAUUAUCAACUUUUAAAAAGUCAAAAGUAUCAAGUCAUGGAUGAUAACCAUAAUAGAUAAAGAAAGGUAUUUAUUGAAUAGAUGAAUAAAUCAAAUUAUUGUAUGCAAACUUUACCAAUGGCAAAAGAAUUAUCCAAUCAUCUUAAUGAUAGUUGAUAGUACACUUCAAAUAUUACUCCAAAAUUUAAUUCACUUGUUUUGUUUGUCCAUCAAUUUGAAGAUGAAAAGCCAAAAAGAGCUUUACAUUCACAUUUUGAAUCUUAAAAAGGGUUCUCCAAAAUCUUAAUAUAAUUAAGUCUUUCUAUCCAAUAUAGUAUCUUUACACAAUCCAUGAUAGUAAUAGAUGUCAUCAAGAAAAAUCUUAGCCAUUUUUUCACUUGUGAUAGAUUUUGUACAUAGUACAAAAUAUAAAAAUAUAAUUAAAUAAUCUAUUAGUAAAAAUAUGAUAUCAUAUAAAUCCAAGAUCCAAAGAUGUGUGAUAAAAUUCAUAAAAGUACAAGACCAUAAUUGUUCUAAUAUAGGUAAUAUUUUAAGAAGUCCAUAAAGUUGAUGAUGAGGAGUUUUGAAUCUUGAAUAAAUAUCACAUGAUUGUACAAAGCCUUUGAUUGCCUUCUACAUUUGAGACAACCAAAUAUCUCUAGAUAUUACUUCUAAAAUAUUUUUGUAUCUAAUAUAUUUAACUAUUAGAAAGUUAUGAUAAGCUUAAAUAAUAUGUAAUCAUGCUUUGUCUUCCAAAAUGUAUAAGCAUCUCUUAAUAUAGAAUAAUUUAUUCUUAAAUUUAAAUUAAGAAGACUCAUAAGAGUUAUAAUAAUUAUUCUUAAUAUCAUGAAUAAAAAGAUUAGAGGACAUACUUGAUUGAAUUUGCUUAAGAAAAAUUGAAUCAAUAGUUAAUAUUGAUUUUAUUCCUUGAAGGUGAUAAUCAUUUGGCUUCAAGAGAGUAAUUUUUUGUUGACCAAAAUUUUUAUUUUUUUUAUUUGGUGCAAGAUAAGAAUGUCUAGAUAGGACGUUUGUAAUACUUGGUUAUUUUUUGGAUAGAUAAGUGACCUUGAGAUCAAAUCUUCAUAAAAACAUGCUCCAAAAAUUCAAAUCAUAUCUCAAUAUGAAGUACUUGAAGUUCUUGUGAUCCAUAUAUAUAAAGAUUAGACUUAAAAGUUAACCACAUAUUAGUAGCUUGUGGAACAGUGAGCACAUCACGAGCCGCUAAGAGAGUCAUACGGUGGAGGUGGACUUACAGAUGCGCUUGAAUUUGGCCUUCAGGGCGUCCUUCUCGCCGCAGUUGGUGAUGUUGAAGAAGAAGUCGGGGUACUCGCUCUGCAGGAAC
rnacentral:lncRNA from 1 species